AUAUAAAAUGUGCAAUUAAUUACACUCAAAGCUACACAUUUUAUAGCCAAACACAAAGGUAUAUAGGCUAAAGUAGGCACAUUUUAUUGCCAACAUUGCUAUUCAAAACAAAGGACAUUAUUCUAUUGAAAAGAAUCCUUCAGAUGCCAUUUAUUUUAUGCAUAAUUAGGGUUGAACUGUUAGAGGCUAGUGGUACUACAAACAAGAGAGUUUAAGCAAAAAAAAGUGGAAAUUAUAACAGCAAAUGAACACAACGCAAGUGGCAACAAAGGUAUAUGUGGGAUAAUGGACUCCAUGGCGUUCGGUUAACAGAAAAAUUAUGCACUUACAAGUUGUCUGUCGGGGCCGCAUUACCACCUUGAACGUGCAUUAUUUUUCUGUUAACCGAACGUUGUGUCAUCCAUUAUCUCUUACAUGUGGUUGAGCAGUUCGUUAACACCUGUGCCCUCUAUAUUUGAGGCAUCAUCUUCUCUGGCUUUUCAAACUUGUCUCCAGUUGAGGAAUCCCUCGAUGAGUUCCCAUCAGUCCUCUAAAUCUUAAUCUCCACUGGUUCUCUGUGGCUUCCCGUUCUGUAGGGACUGAACCUUAUGAUCGACAAAUUGUAAAACAAAUUACUAAUCUGAUAACAUGUACCUUAAAGGGGUCAUAGAAUGCAAAACCGAGUUUACUUUGUCAUAGAUGAAUAGUGAUAGUUCAGUGGGUGAAAUGGACAUACAGAGAACUUCAAAACCCCACCGACACCUCCUUCCUAUGCAAAUCUCACAAUUCGAAACUCCCGCCAUAAAACGGGCGAAUCCAAACGAAGCUGCGAGUUUACGCAAACUCGCAGGUGGUACCUUAUUUGGCUCUGGCCUGUACAUUUGUCACGCCUCAAAAUUUACAUACAGACCAGCCCACUGGUGCUCUGAGCCCAGGAACGUGAAUGGAGAGCGAAGAUGAGACAAACACUAGUUUAGCUGCCUGCUCGUUUACUUCCACAGGAAUCCUUGAAGCAGAGAGUUCUUCAAGGAUAUCGAAAAUGAGCCACGGUCGUAAAUGCAGUGUUCCAGGUUGAAACUUAGGCUACAAAGAAAGCUGAGACUUUCCAUAGUCUUCCCAAGGAUUCAAAAGUUCGAGGGGCAUGGAUAAUGUUUUUCUACCAGAAGAAGAUCCCUGCAAAGUUCGACACUCUGUUAUUAAUUUGCAAAACAUUUCACCGAGGGCAGUUUUCAAAACCUUGUACAGUUAAGCAGGAUUUGCUAAGCUGCUGUUACUGAAACGAGGGGCUGUUCGCGACCGUAAGGUCAUCACAACCGCAUGCUGUUUUAUCUAGCAGCCAUGCACUUCAAUGAGAAUGCUGAGUCCCCACAACAGAAGACAACCAAGGAGAAACUAUGUACAAACUUGCCAAAUUUAUCAUCAAAGACCCUCUUCCUUACUGGGAUGCCGUCCAGCGGAUUCCUGUGCCCCAGGACUUGUGUGCUCAGCUAGACAGACCUUCCAUGGAGGAUGCUGUUGCUGAACAUGUAUCAUUUUGUGGACCAGGUACAUCUCCAGCUCCGCCACUCGCCGGCCCAGACAGGCCCGGAUGCCGAACCCGAACGGCACGGAGCCGAAGG